UUAACUGCAGUUUUCCAAAAAAAACUUAACAAGAAAUGCAUCUUGGGACUUCCUGUUUACUUUUCUUUUUGUUGUGGAUGUGGAACGGGAAUGUUGUGAAGGAGUUAAAUUGUUGGACCUGUAUGUGCAGCGUGGAGCGGCCAUUUUCUCCAUGCAAGGGAUAAGUUGCGAGAUCGUCUGUGUGCUCCAGUAUUGCAAGUGAGCUGAGAUUUCUGUGGAAUACAGAGGCCACUGCCGUAUUUUUGUGUUUUGUAUUUCAUUUCAUUUCUUUUAUUCCUCGUAUUGUAUUGGCGCAUCUUUGUUUAAUCGGUUAUUCUGUUACUUUGCCACGUUACCUCUC